UACGUAGGGUGCGAGCGUUGUCCGGAAUUACUGGGCGUAAAGAGCUCGUAGGUGGUUUGUCGCGUUGUUCGUGAAAACUCACAACUCAAUUGUGGGCGUGCGGGCGAUACGGGCAGACUGGAGUACUGCAGGGGAGACUGGAAUUCCUGGUGUAGCGGUGGAAUGCGCAGAUAUCAGGAGGAACACCGGUGGCGAAGGCGGGUCUCUGGGCAGUAACUGACGCUGAGGAGCGAAAGCGUGGGGAGCGAACGG
rnacentral:rRNA from 1 species